UGAAGAUAGAGAUGAGCGAAAUUGGAUGCCUUUACAAUGGCGGAGGAGGUGCCUAUUAAUAGGGUACGAAUAUUGCUAUCCAAUGCAUGGGAGAAUGCCACUUUAAACCUGCAGUACAAUAGCUAAUGGACGAUGAUCACUUGCCGCUGAGCCAUUUGAGUGUGCCAUCCCAGUAUUGCAUAUCUGACGAGAUUCAGCCGAGGGUUGUCUAUGCCGUUGAGAACCCUGACUCACUGUCUUUGUGUCUUUCCUUUCGUGUGUCGUCACCAUCGUUGGUAUUCUCUAGCCAUUCCUUUCCUUUCCCGAGCAGACAUUCCUUCAUUUCAAUUUCGUCCCCGGGAAAACGCCUAUAUUGGGGCCUGUUUCAAUUCUACCAGAUCGAGUCGGCCCAAUCUUUA
rnacentral:lncRNA from 1 species